CACAUGUAUUUUGUUAGGGUGGA
rnacentral:piRNA from 1 species